CUCUUAGUAACAGAAGGAGCAGCCGGCCACGCCGGCGGCGGCGGUGGCGCCGCCGCGAAGGCAUGGAAUGUCUGCAAGGUCCUGUCCGCUGAGACACCAAAGCUCGUACUAGAACUGGAGCUCGUUGCAUUGCGCCUCGAAGGUGUCGUCGGCAUCGUGGCAUGGAAGACUUGCAAGGUCUUGUCCAUGGAGACACCGAGGUGGGUACCACUACUACCGGCGCUCGUCGCAUUGCGCGUCGAAGACAUCCUCGGGAGGAGAGGGCAGAUGAGGAGGCUGAAGGUGGUGUGCGAGAGGAGGAAGACGAGGGAGAGCAGCAGCAGGAGGGCAGGGAGCGAGAGGGAGAAGAGGAGCAAGGGCAACGGCUUCCGGGCCGCCGGCAGCGUCGUCGUCGGAGAUGCAGGAGUGACCAUUUUGUUCUUGGCUUGCUUGCACCUUGGGUGCUACUGCCAUGUACACAGUGCACAUACGUGACCUGACUGACUUGUGUAUGUGAGGAGCCAUUUGGAUCGAUAUUGG
rnacentral:misc_RNA from 1 species